GAAAUGCGAUAAGUAGUGUGAAUUGCAGAAUUCAGUGAAUCAUCGAAUCUUUGAACGCACAUUGCGCCCUUUGGUAUUCCUCAGGGCAUGCCUGUUCGAGCGUCAUCUAAACCUUCAAGCCCUGCUUGGUGUUGGGUGCCUGUCCCGCCUCCGCGCGCGGACUCACCUCAAAUCCAUUGGCGGCCCCCGCGUCGGCCACGAGCGCAGCAGAAACGCGAACUCGUGAGCCCGUCCGGGCGGCUCCCAGAAGCUACACCCACCCAGUUUGACCUCGGAUCAGGUAGGGAUACCCGCUGAACUUAAGC
rnacentral:misc_RNA from 1 species